rnacentral:lncRNA from 1 species
GUGGCCUUCGUCAGGAUUGUCCUUCAUCAUCCUUUCUCUUUAUCCUUUGGUCAGAAAUAUUUUAACUAUCUUUGCAAGCUACAGUGCAGUCUAAGCUACUUCAUUCUUUUGUUCCUGGCAUCAAAGGUCUACAAAGCUCCCAUCUUUUCUUGCUGACGAUUGUAUUUUUAUUACAAGAGCUGCUGUUAGGGAUGCAUUAUGCCU